UGAUGAUGAUGAUGAUGAUGAUGAUGAUGAAAUAAAUGUAUAUACUGCCCUAUACCUGCAGGUCAUCAUCACCAUCAUUUUAUUUG